CUCAAGCUGGAUGGUUAUUCACCGAUCUUGGAGGACACCGACAAGGAGUCAAGCACACAGUCUACAUCCUGAGCAGCAACACUCCUGAAAGCACCUCCCAGGGAGACUGUGGCCAUAGAGGAUAAAAAGUUCUAGAACAGAAGAAUUUUGCAGCACAAUCUAAUAUAAUGUUGAUAAAAAUUCUGAAAGCGCACAACUCCAUGGGAGCUUUAAGGCAAUCUUCAGGACAAAGAAAAUUGUGGCUGUGCAUCCCAGCACGUGAGCGAGUUUAUCAAAUACAAGGCAGCAGCCAGAACAACAGGAAAUUGCAUGAGAAAGCCCAGCUCCUGGCUGGCAGAAGGGCGUUAACCUCUCCUUCAUGUCACUGAGUUUAAUACUCCAAUUUUGCAGUAAAAGCGUCUUCCCCGAGCCCGGGUUCAUAAA